rnacentral:rRNA from 1 species
GACGAACGCUGGCGGCGUGCCUAAUACAUGCAAGUCGAGCGAACAGACGAGGAGCUUGCUCCUCUGACGUUAGCGGCGCACGUGUGAGUAACACGUGGAUAACCUACCUAUACGACUGGGAUAACUUCGGGAAACCGGACCUAAGACAGGAGAAUAUAUUGAACCGCAAGGGUCCAUCGUGCAAGUCGGUUUUGCUUUCACUUAGAGAUGGCUCCCCGCCGCAUUAGCUAGUUGGUAAGGUAACGGGUUACCAAGGCAACGAGGGGUAGCCGACCUGAGCGGGUGGAUGGCCAGAUGGGAACUGAGAAUCAGUCCAGACACCUACGGGAAGCAGCAGUAGGGAAUCUUCCGCAAUGGGCGAGAGCCUGACGGAGCAACGCGGCGUGAGUGAUGAAGGUCUUCGGAUCGUAGAGCUCUGUUAUUAGGGAGGAAGAAAUGUGUAAGUAACUAUGCACGUCUUGACGGUACCUAAUCAGAAAGCCACGGCUAACUACGUG